GAGGAUAUAGCUCAGUGGUAGAGCACAUGCUUAGCAUGCAUGAAGUCCUAGGUUCAAUCCCUAGUACCUUCA
rnacentral:tRNA from 1 species